GAUGAACGCUGGCGGCGUGCUUAACACAUGCAAGUCGAACGGAAAGGCCCAAGCUUGCUUGGGUACUCGAGUGGCGAACGGGUGAGUAACACGUGGGUGAUCUGCCCUGCACUUCGGGAUAAGCCUGGGAAACUGGGUCUAAUACCGGAUAGGACGAUGGUUUGGAUGCCAUUGUGGAAAGUUUUUUCGGUGUGGGAUGAGCUCGCGGCCUAUCAGCUUGUUGGUGGGGUAAUGGCCUACCAAGGCGUCGACGGGUAGCCGGCCUGAGAGGGUGUACGGCCACAUUGGGAAUGAGAUAAGGCCCAGACUCCCACGGGAGGCAGCAGGGGGGAAUAUUGCACAAUGGGGGCAAGCCUGAAGCAGCGACGCCGCGUGGGGGAUGACGGCCUUCGGGUUGUAAACUCCUUUCGCUAGGGACGAAGCGUUUUUGUGACGGUACCUGGAGAAGAAGCACCGGCUAACUAUGUG
rnacentral:rRNA from 1 species